CCUACGGGGGGCAGCAGUGAGGAAUAUUGGUCAAUGGGCGAGAGCCUGAACCAGCCAAGUCGCGUGAAGGAUGACGGCCCUACGGGUUGUAAACUUCUUUUGUCAGGGAGCAAUUGAGUCCACGUGUGGGCUUAGCGAGAGUACCUGAAGAAAAAGCAUCGGCUAACUCCGUGCCAGCAGCCGCGGUAAUACGGAGGAUGCGAGCGUUAUCCGGAUUUAUUGGGUUUAAAGGGUGCGUAGGCGGAAUAUCAAGUCAGCGGUAAAAAUUCGGGGCUCAACCCCGUCGUGCCGUUGAAGUUGAUGUU
rnacentral:rRNA from 1 species